CGGCUGGACCUGCCCCACCCGGGGGCGCCAGGGAGGACAGCCUCGCCGCGCGGGAACUGGCCGGGGCGGUGGCGCAGCCGGAGCCGUGCGGGCGGCGCCUUGUCCGCCGCGAUUGAGCCCGGCCCUCCGGGGCUGGAGGCUUCACAGCCUCGUUCCAGGGACCCCUCACGCCAGGUGUCGGGGGGACACCAUGAAGCACAAACUGGAUGACCCCUCGGGCUGAAGCACUCAUCUCCAGCUUCUGGGAGAGUCGGAGCCCAGGCACAAAACUUACCUUUCCUUGACAUCUUUAGGACACAAAGCUCACCAUGCCUCUUCCAGGAAGCCUUUCCUGAUGAGACCCUCUUUUCUCUCUACUGCUACACAAACCCUCCAUGACCCCCUUUGGCCCUCAGUGGUCUGACUAUGUGCACUGCACAUUCUGCAUGGGAUAUGCUAGAGAGAACACAACAUUUGAAGCACACGUCCCUGGAUCCCGUCCCAGCUCAGCUCCAUGUUGGCUGAAUAGGCCCAUCUCUUGAGCAUGAAUCCAAUAAAACCAAAAUCAAACUCAUUAUCCCAGCUGAAA